GUAGGUGAACCUGCGGAAGGAUCAUUACUAGAGCAAAGGAUAGACAGCGCCCGCGGAGCCUUGCUCCCUGGGGCUACCCUACUUCGGUAAGGUUUAGAGUCGUCGGGCCUCUCGAAGAAGCUCGGUCCUGAACUCCACCCUUGAAUAAAUUUACCUUUGUUGCUUUGGCGGGCCGCCUCGUGCCAGCGGCUUCGGCUGUUGCGUG
rnacentral:misc_RNA from 1 species